GUAGACCAUUCCAGGUCUAAAUCAAAAAACAUAGCCAUCACUCCAUCCGCCCACAUAUUAGGGUUUUGCUACUUCACCGCUCGAAGGUAUAAUUCUUGAUUAGGGUUUUGCUACUUCCCCAUUCCAAGCGACUCUUAAUCCAUUCAAGCAACGGUAAUGAGUAACCAAUACGCAAGCAGGCAACAAAUUUGAUUUUUCAGAACGUUAUUUUUAUUUGGAGGAAGAAAAUGGCUUUGACUGUGAUGAUUAUUAGGCUUCAGUCUUAUUGAGAUGAUGUCAAACAGCUUCAGUUACGCUAUGCAACAUCACUUAUUGGAGGUCCAUCGACUCCAGCUACUUUUGUGGAUUUAUAUGCUAUUUUGAGCCCACCUUUCCUGGAAUUUAUGACAAAGAGAGGCAGGGGCGUAGCUUAGUGUAAAGUGGGGGAUGCACCCGCCCUCCAGUGUUUCGGUUAGAAAUGGGCUGCAUUUGCUUUUCCAAUUCCCUCUCGGUAUUCCGACUGUUGCCAUAAUCAUGGUUUUAAAAAACGGUUGAGGCGUGCGCCUCGAGGCGCGCCUUAAGGCGAAACGGCCAAAAAACGAUAAUAAACUACUAUUAUUGUUUUUGUAUGUUCCAUCAAGUCACCAAGUUCUUACCAUUGGGGUCUCUAUAAAGCUCUUAGAAUACAUUAGUUAUCAUUUAAUUAACUAUAUACAAAAAUAGAAAAAUGGAUGAGAAGUUUUGUUUGUCGACCAAGCCAACCCUUUUGGCCCACACAAAAACUAACCCGUUUCAGACCAGUUUUUACCCAUCAACUAGCCCACCCAUCUACAAGCUAAUAAUGAUGUUGAAGACUAUUUUUCACUUGAUAUUACGUUAAUAGAGUCCCCAUCCUUUUAAAUUAUGCUAACAAGAAACGGAUGGGAUUAUCUAUCUCUAAAGAUACUGUGUGCUUGUAUGGCUAGUGGUCCAUAGGUAGGAUAGAAGACAAGACCAAAAACUACCUGUUUAAUGGUCUCAACUCUCCAAUGAUAAUAUGGCAUCAGUUAUAACUAUAAUACAGGUAUGUUAGUUUAGUUAUGCUAAUUAUGUUUAGGAAAAAACAUUAGUUAUAACUAAAAUAACGGGUAUGUUGGUUUAUUUAUUUUGCUAAUUAUAUUUAGGAAAUAAAACAUUAGUUGUAACUAUAAUAAUGGGCAUGUAAGAAGAAAGAGUUGGAGAAAACUUCAAUAUGUGCUACUCUGUUAUUCUAUGCUGAAUGAUAGAAAAAUAUUGUAGUUGAUAAUAGGGUAUGUUAUAUGAGUUGGGCUGGGUUCUUAAAUUAAAUAAAUCUGAAUAAUUUGUACUUAUCUUUAUUCCCUUUUGUCCCUGUAGGAGCAAGCAGAUGAAUUUGAUAAACUCGUUAUACAAACUAGAAGUAUUGAAAAGGUAAACUUGAUUAUCAAGGAGCUCGUUGAGGGAAAGGAUGGAGAAGAAGAAAAGUUGAAUAGAAUUAUUGCGGGGCCGUCG
rnacentral:lncRNA from 1 species